CCCGGCAAUGAAUUGCCGAGCUAUUCUCAGUCGUCCCUGCGGGACU
rnacentral:sRNA from 1 species